GCCUAACACAUGCAAGUCGAACGAUGAAGCCCUUCGGGGUGGAUUAGUGGCGAACGGGUGAGUAACACGUGGGCAAUCUGCCCUUCACUCUGGGACAAGCCCUGGAAACGGGGUCUAAUACCGGAUAAUACUCCUGCCUGCAUGGGCGGGAGUUAAAAGCUCCGGCGGUGAAGGAUGAGCCCGCGGCCUAUCAGCUUGUUGGUGGGGUAAUGGCCCACCAAGGCGACGACGGGUAGCCGGCCUGAGAGGGCGACCGGCCACACUGGGACUGAGACACGGCCCAGACUCCUACGGGAGGCAGCAGUGGGGAAUAUUGCACAAUGGGCGAAAGCCUGAUGCAGCGACGCCGCGUGAGGGAUGACGGCCUUCGGGUUGUAAACCUCUUUCAGCAGGGAAGAAGCGAAAGUGACGGUACCUGCAGAAGAAGCGCCGGCUAACUACGUGCCAGCAGCCGCGGUAAUACGUAGGGCGCAAGCGUUGUCCGGAAUUAUUGGGCGUAAAGAGCUCGUAGGCGGCUUGUCACGUCGGGUGUGAAAGCCCGGGGCUUAACCCCGGGUCUGCAUCCGAUACGGGCAGGCUAGAGUGUGGUAGGGGAGAUCGGAAUUCCUGGUGUAGCGGUGAAAUGCGCAGAUAUCAGGAGGAACACCGGUGGCGAAGGCGGAUCUCUGGGCCAUUACUGACGCUGAGGAGCGAAAGCGUGGGGAGCGAACAGGAUUAGAUACCCUGGUAGUCCACGCCGUAAACGUUGGGAACUAGGUGUUGGCGACAUUCCACGUCGUCGGUGCCGCAGCUAACGCAUU
rnacentral:rRNA from 1 species